AGAGUUUGAUCCUGGCUCAGAUUGAACGCUGGCGGCAUGCCUUACACAUGCAAGUCGAACGGCAGCACGGGAGCUUGCUCCUGGUGGCGAGUGGCGAACGGGUGAGCAAUAUAUCGGAACGUACCCUAGAGUGGGGGAUAACGUAGCGAAAGUUACGCUAAUACCGCAUACGAUCUACGGAUGAAAGUGGGGGAUCGCAAGACCUCAUGCUCAUGGAGCGGCCGAUAUCUGAUUAGCUAGUUGGUGGGGUAAAAGCUCACCAAGGCGACGAUCAGUAGCUGGUCUGAGAGGACGACCAGCCACACUGGAACUGAGACACGGUCCAGACUCCUACGGGAGGCAGCAGUGGGGAAUUUUGGACAAUGGGCGCAAGCCUGAUCCAGCAAUGCCGCGUGAGUGAAGAAGGCCUUCGGGUUGUAAAGCUCUUUUGUCAGGGAAGAAACGGUUCGGGCUAAUAUCCUGGGCUAAUGACGGUACCUGAAGAAUAAGCACCGGCUAACUACGUGCCAGCAGCCGCGGUAAUACGUAGGGUGCAAGCGUUAAUCGGAAUUACUGGGCGUAAAGCGUGCGCAGGCGGUUGUGCAAGACAGAUGUGAAAUCCCCGGGCUCAACCUGGGAAUUGCAUUUGUGACUGCACGGCUAGAGUGAGUCAGAGGGGGGUAGAAUUCCACGUGUAGCAGUGAAAUGCGUAGAGAUGUGGAGGAAUACCGAUGGCGAAGGCAGCCCCCUGGGAUAACACUGACGCUCAUGCACGAAAGCGUGGGGAGCAAACAGGAUUAGAUACCCUGGUAGUCCACGCCCUAAACGAUGUCUACUAGUUGUCGGGUCUUAAUUGACUUGGUAACGCAGCUAACGCGUGAAGUAGACCGCCUGGGGAGUACGGUCGCAAGAUUAAAACUCAAAGGAAUUGACGGGGACCCGCACAAGCGGUGGAUGAUGUGGAUUAAUUCGAUGCAACGCGAAAAACCUUACCUACCCUUGACAUGUCUGGAAUCCUUGAGAGAUCAGGGAGUGCUCGAAAGAGAAUCAGAACACAGGUGCUGCAUGGCUGUCGUCAGCUCGUGUCGUGAGAUGUUGGGUUAAGUCCCGCAACGAGCGCAACCCUUGUCAUUAGUUGCUACGAAAGGGCACUCUAAUGAGACUGCCGGUGACAAACCGGAGGAAGGUGGGGAUGACGUCAAGUCCUCAUGGCCCUUAUGGGUAGGGCUUCACACGUCAUACAAUGGUACAUACAGAGGGCCGCCAACCCGCGAGGGGGAGCUAAUCCCAGAAAGUGUAUCGUAGUCCGGAUUGUAGUCUGCAACUCGACUACAUGAAGUUGGAAUCGCUAGUAAUCGCGGAUCAGCAUGUCGC
rnacentral:rRNA from 1 species